rnacentral:rRNA from 1 species
UCAAGCGCGAGAAGGGCGUUUGGUGAAUGCCUUGGCAGUAAGAGGCGAUGAAGGACGUGAUACUCUGCGAUAAGCUAUGGUUAGCCGAGAAUAGGCUUUGAUCCAUGGAUUUCCGAAUGGGGCAACCCACCUGAUUAUAUUCUGUUAUUAUCUAGCUUCGGUUAGAUAGUUAUCAGGGUGUAAAACCAGGUACUUAUAGACUGAAUACAUAGGUUUAUAAGAGCAAACCCGGGGAACUGAAACAUCUAAGUACCCGGAGGAAAGGACAUCAAUUGAUACUCCCCUAGUAGCGGCGAGCGAACGGGGACCAGCCGAGCCUUGAAUGUGAUUAGAAUGGUCUGGAAUGGCCAACCAUAGUGGGUGACAGUCCCGUAUAAGAAGCACGAUAGGACGUAUUAAGUAGGGCGGAACACGUGAAAUUCUGUCUGAAGAUCGGAGGACCACCUUCGAAGGCUAAGUACUCCUUACUGACCGAUAGUGAACCAGUACCGUGAGGGAAAGGUGAAAAGCACCCCGACGAGGGGAGUGAAACAGUACCUGAAACCGAACGCCUACAAUCAGUCGGAGCCCCCUUGCGGGGUGACGGCGUACCUUUUGUAUAAUGGGUCAUCGACUUGGUCUAUCUAGCAAGCUUAAGCCGUUAGGUGUAGGCGCAGCGAAAGCGAGUCUUAAUAGGGCGUUGAGUUAGAUGGAUCAGACCCGAAACCGAGUGAUCUAGGCAUGUCCAGGAUGAAGGUAAGGUAACACUUACUGGAGGUCCGAACCCACACCUGUUGAAAAAGGUCGGGAUGAGGUGUGCCUAGGGGUGAAAGGCCAAUCAAACUCGGAGAUAGCUGGUUCUCUGCGAAAUCUAUUUAGGUAGAGCGUCGGACGAAUACCAUCGGGGGUAGAGCACUGAAUGGGUAAUGGGGGCCCACAGCCUUACUGAUCCUAAUCAAACUCCGAAUACCGAUGAGUAAUAUCCGGCAGACACACAGCGGGUGCUAACGUCCGUUGUGAAGAGGGAAACAACCCUGACCUACGACUAAGGCCCCUAAUUCAUGGCUAAGUGGGAAAGCAGGUGAGACGGCCAAAACAACCAGGAGGUUGGCUUAGAAGCAGCCAUCCUUUAAAGAUAGCGUAACAGCUCACUGGUCUAAAUAAGCUGUCUUGCGGCGAAGAUGUAACGGGGCUCAAGCCAUGAGCCGAAGUCUAGGAUGCAAUUUAUUGCAUGGUAGCAGAGCGUAGUGUGACAUAGUUCCAUGCGUCUUUAGUGCCCUUUCGGGGGUGCAUUAGACGCAAGGAGCUUUCUGUGAAGCCGGGGCGUGAGCCAUCCGGUGGAGAGAUCACUAGUGAGAAUGAUGACAUGAGUAGCGACAAAGGGAGUGAGAGACUCCCUCGCCGAAAAUCCAAGGGUUCCUGCUUAAAGCUAAUCUGAGCAGGGUGAGCCGACCCCUAAGGCGAGGCCGAAAGGCGUAGUCGAUGGGAACCAGGUUAAUAUUCCUGGGCCAUGAGGUGGUGACGGAUCUCGACUGUAGUUCUUCCUUAUCGGAUUGGAAGGGCUGCUUAGAGGUUCCUGGAAAUAGCCCCUCUAUAAGAUCGUACCCUAAACCGACACAGGUGGAUAGGUAGAGAAUACCAAGGCGCUUGAGAGAACUAUGUUGAAGGAACUCGGCAAAAUACCUCCGUAAGUUCGCGAGAAGGAGGCCCGGUUUCUAGGCAACUGGAAGCUGGGGGCACAAACCAGGGGGUGGCGACUGUUUACUAAAAACACAGGGCUCUGCGAAGUCGCAAGACGACGUAUAGGGUCUGACGCCUGCCCGGUGCCUGAAGGUUAAAAGGAGGGGUGAGAGCUCCGAAUUGAAGCCCAGGUAAACGGCGGCCGUAACUAUAACGGUCCUAAGGUAGCGAAAUUCCUUGUCGGGUAAGUUCCGACCUGCACGAAUGG